rnacentral:tRNA from 1 species
GCUGUGGUGGUGUAAUGGUCAGCAUUUCUGCCUAGCAAGCAAGAAGACCCGGGUUCGAGUGCCGGCCGCGGCA